GACGAACGCUGGCGGCGUGCUUAACACAUGCAAGUCGAACGGUAAGGCCCUUUCGGGGGUCCACGAGUGGCGAACGGGUGAGUAACACGUGAGUAACCUGCCCUCAUCUCUGGGAUAACAGUCGGAAACGGUUGCUAAUACUGGAUAUGAGCUUGCAAGGCAUCUUGUGGGUUGGAAAGAUUUUUUUUGGUUGGGGAUGGACUCGCGGCCUAUCAGCUUGUUGGUGAGGUAGUGGCUCACCAAGGCUUCGACGGGUAGCCGGCCUGAGAGGGCGACCGGCCACAUUGGGACUGAGAUACGGCCCAAACUCCUACGGGAGGCAGCAGUGGGGAAUAUUGCACAAUGGACGGAAGUCUGAUGCAGCAACGCCGCGUGCAGGAUGACGGCCUUCGGGUUGUAAACCGCUUUCAAUUGUGACGAAGCUUUUUUGUGACGGUAGCAGUAGAAGAAGCACCAGCUAACUACGUG
rnacentral:rRNA from 1 species